rnacentral:lncRNA from 1 species
AUUUCCUGGCUGAGAAGGUCCCGAGAUACCAGGCUGACUGGAAGCUCCCACACAGCCCAUUUCUGGGACCUGAGGGCGCAAGGCUCCACAGAGGAAUACCGGCGGGGAAUGCAGUGGAGACCCCCAGGAAGGUGUCUCCAAGCAGAAGGGAGAGAGAGGCCGUGUCUCAAAACUCCAGAGGCUUCUGAAGUCCUUCUGGAGAGUUAAGAAAAUCGGAGCUCAUGUGAAAGCAUUCUUGUCAUACAACUGCCUUCCAAUGGCAUGACCACGGAAGGAGAACAGCUCCUCACCAAAGCAGCCAUGAUGGAUUCUGACAUUUUCGAAGUUAUUAAAGAAUGUGCCACACCAAAAAAAAAAAAAAAGUAAAGAGAGAGAAUAGCAAAUUAAUGGGGACAUUUGGAGGAGAAAGGACAUGUAACCAUAACACACUGCUGGGCUUGGGAGUCAACAAUCCUUAAGUGCUCCAGGACAUUGGUGUGCCCAGUGGAAGUUUCCUACAAGGGGUGACAGCUCUGGACAGGGCAUCAGGUGCCUGUGUGCUCACUGCAAGUCUGCCCCUGGUCGGCUAUAUGAUCUUGGUCAAGCUGCUCUGUCUCUCUGGGUCCAGCUAGACAAGAUGCUCACUGAGUCCCCUCCUGACUCAUUUGUGAUUUUAUAAGGGUUGCCUGGUACAUGCUUUCUGAAGGGGAGAGCAAGGGGAGGAGGAACCAAUGCAGAGACUCACCACGGACCUGAGUCUUGGCAGGGAGGAGAGAGCAGAGGGAGCCUGGGGCUGAGGAAGACUGGGGGCAGGGGUGCUAGAGAUGCCUCUCUUCUUUCACAAACCUCCUGUGCUGGCCUGCUCCCGGAGUGCUGUCCAGAAAGCCUCUUCAAGAAACCCAUUACAAGUGACCACAAAGAAUGCCCGUUCCAAGACAUGCAUUCUGAGGGAGGUGUGCACCAAAGCUUUAGUGGGCAGGAAGCUACCCCACCACCCAGCUCCAGCACUGCUGGGAGCUGAUUCCAGCCCAGCCACUCCUCAUGGCUUUUAUAUGGCCCUGCUGGGCCCUGGCGAUCUGGUUUGAAAAUCAUGGUUCUAUCUCAAUCCAAUCAAUGGAAAACUGAAUUUCAAGUGUUAUCUCCCCUCAAACAAAAAACAAAACAAAAAAACAACAAAAAAAACAGGGUGAAAAAGAGCACACAGUGGCUCUCAACACAGCUUUCACCUUCCUCCCUGGAUUCUGCCAUUCCUGGAUGUGCUUACACAGAGCUGGCUGCUCGGAUUUCCCCUAGUGAAUGCAACCAGUUACCGGACUGCGACAGGUGCAUGGACCCCAGCACCUUCUCUCAAACACCCACGCUUGGAGGAAAACGUGGCAGCUCUCUCCCCAGCUGGGGCUUGGCCUGGGGUGCCCACCCUCUUUCUCAUUAAGCAGCCCUUCAUCUGAGAGGUAAGAAACUCAAGUUCAUCCAGCGUGUGAACCUGCAAUGUGGGGUGUGCUAAGAUCCAGGCGGGCUAAUGAUCACUAACAAUGCUCCCUAUCCAACCCAGCAAGGCACACAAGGACAAAACCCCACCUACGGAUCCAGCUGCAUGCCUGAGUUUUGAGUACACAGCCAAAGAAAAAAGCAUGCUCAGGUUGUCCAGAAAAAAAAGGAAACCUGAAAAAAAAAAAAAAACCACAAUAGCGAGAAAGGGGGUCUAAGUUUCCUCGGAGGUCCUCAACUGUCUGUAGAAGUGCCCCACCCAGAACCCAAAAUAAAAUGAAGUAACCCCGCCCCUGGUCAGGGUCCUGUCUUUUUUAUUAUCCAGACACACGUAUCAGAGCCUGCUAACAUCCAGUUGUGGGAAGAGCAGCAAGCAGUACACCAGGAGCCACAGGAAGAGAAUAAAAUACAUCAUAUCCGGCUGCUGGACAAGCUGUGUCAGGGAGUCACUCUGCGGGCUGUGGCUCCCCAGUGACAUGGCUUCUCCUGAGCUGUUGGCCUUCCUACAGAAGAAACACAGAGGAAACGCAGUUACCAAGCAGGUUCCCAGGAAAGUGGACCCCACCCAGUGCUACCCGUCUCUCCCCGGCCCCCACUCCCCGCCUGAAGACCCGAAGGCUCCCCAGCACCAUGUCCAGGUAGGCCCCACACUGUGUGUACUGGCCCAAGGCAGUGCGUCGGGCCAUCCAGGCAGCCCCUCGAGCUUUUGCACGUACUCCGUUCAUCUCCAUAACAUCAGGUGAGAGGAGGUGGCAGCCCCAUUCUGCAGAUGGACACACUGAGGCUUUCGGGGUGGAGUGACUUGCCCAAGGCCAUGCAAUUAACUUGGCGACAGAGAGGGCGCCUAGGCCAGGUCUCCUGGGACACCUUUCUUGAUGCCACAGUGCUCUCAGAGAGUGACACGGAGUUAGAUACUGAUCGCUUGCUGCUGUUUGUUAGUAACGCAGGGGACCCCAUAGGUCAUCUAAGGGAUGAAGUGUCCCUAAUAGCAGAUCAUUUUAAAUCAUCUAUCAGAAAGAAACAAAGACCUCUCCCAUUCCCCACAGUUUUGUUUUGGCUUUGGAAUAUUACCUUUAAAAUAAUUACUAGAUUUGAUUUCAGUCAGAUUUACCUUCCUGCUUUUAUUUUAUAGGUGGUAGUGUUAAAAUGUCAUUUCAGUUUUGCCUGGCGGAUCAUAGGGAAGCCCAGAAGGUUUUGCCUGGGGCUGGGGCCUCUGCUUGGAGCUGCAUGUAGAGAAGCCUGCAGUGUAAG